rnacentral:rRNA from 1 species
GAGUUUGAUCCUGGCUCAGAACGAACGCUGGCGGCAGGCCUAACACACGCAAGUCGAGCGCUACCUUCGGGUGGAGCGGCGGACGGGUUAGUAACGCGUGGGAAUAGACCCAGUGUCUAAGGAAUAGCCACUGGAAACGGCGAGUAAUACCUUAUACGCCCCUCGGGGGAAAGAUUUAUCGGAAUUGGAUUAGCCGCGCGAUAGAUUGAGAUAGAUUGGUGGGGGAAAGGGAAAGGAAGGAR